UUACCGAGUUUACAACUCCCAAACCCCUGUGAACAUACCAAUUGUUGCCUCGGCGGAUCAGCCCGCUCCCGGUAAAACGGGACGGCCCGCCAGAGGACCCCUAAACUCUGUUUCUAUAUGUAACUUCUGAGUAAAACCAUAAAUAAAUCAAAACUUUCAACAACGGAUCUCUUGGUUCUGGCAUCGAUGAAGAACGCAGCAAAAUGCGAUAAGUAAUGUGAAUUGCAGAAUUCAGUGAAUCAUCGAAUCUUUGAACGCACAUUGCGCCCGCCAGUAUUCUGGCGGGCAUGCCUGUUCGAGCGUCAUUUCAACCCUCAAGCCCCCGGGUUUGGUGUUGGGGAUCGGCGAGCCCUUGCGGCAAGCCGGCCCCGAAAUCUAGUGGCGGUCUCGCUGCAGCUUCCAUUGCGUAGUAGUAAAACCCUCGCAACUGGUACGCGGCGCGGCCAAGCCGUUAAACCCCCAACUUCUGAAUGUUGACCUCGGAUCAGGUAGGAAUACCCGCUGAACUUAAGCAUAUCAAUAAGCGGAGGAAAAGAAACCAACAGGGAUUGCCCUAGUAACGGCGAGUGAAGCGGCAACAGCUCAAAUUUGAAAUCUGGCUCUCGGGCCCGAGUUGUAAUUUGUAGAGGAUACUUUUGAUGCGGUGCCUUCCGAGUUCCCUGGAACGGGACGCCAUAGAGGGUGAGAGCCCCGUCUGGUUGGAUGCCAAAUCUCUGUAAAGUUCCUUCGACGAGUCGAGUAGUUUGGGAAUGCUGCUCUAAA
rnacentral:rRNA from 1 species